rnacentral:rRNA from 1 species
GAUGAACGCUGGCGGCGUGCCUAAUACAUGCAAGUCGAGCGAACGGACGAGAAGCUUGCUUCUCUGAUGUUAGCGGCGGACGGGUGAGUAACACGUGGAUACCCUACCUAUAAGACUGGGAUAACUUCGGGAAACCGGAGCUAAUACCGGCUAAUAUUUUGAACCGCAUGGUUCAAAAGUGAUAGACGGUCUUGCUGUCACUUAUAGAUGGAUCCGCGCUGCAUUAGCUAGUUGGUAAGGUAACGGCUUACCAAGGCAACGAUGCAUAGCCGACCUGAGAGGUUGAUCGGCCACACUGGAACUGAGACACGGUCCAGACUCCUACGGGCGGCAGCAGUAGGCAAGCCUCCGCACUGGUCGAAAGCCUGACGCAGCAACGCCGCGUGAGUAAUGAAGGUCUUGGGGUCGUAAAACGCUGUUAUUAGAGAAGAACCUAUGUGGAAGUAACUGUGCAUAUCGUGACGGUACCAAGUCAGAAAGCCACGGCUAACUACGUU